rnacentral:rRNA from 1 species
AUUGAACGCUGGCGGCAGGCUUAACACAUGCAAGUCGAGCGAGCGGCGGACGGGUGAGUAAUGUCUGGGAAACUGCCUGAAGGAGGGGGAUAACUACUGGAAACGGUAGCUAAUACCGCAUACCAUCAGAUGUGCCCAGAUGUGAUUAGCUAGUAGGUGGGGUAAUGGCUCACCUAGGCGACGAGCCCUAGCUGGUCGGAGAGGAUGACCAGCCACACAGGAACUGAUAAACGGUCCAGACUCCUACGGGAGGCAGAAGUGGGGACUAUUGCACAAUGGGCGCAAGCAUGAUGCAGCCAUGCCACGUGAAUGAAGAAGGCCUUCGGGUUGUAAAGCACUUUCAGCGAGGAGGCGUUACUCGCAGAAGAAGCACCGGCUAACUCCGUGCCAGCAGCCGCGGUAAUUC